AACGAACGCUGGCGGCGGGCUUAACACAUGCAAGUCGAGCGCAUCCUUCGGGGUGAGCGGCAGACGGGGGAGUAACGCGUGGGAAUCUACAUGUUGCUACGGAAUAGCUCCGGGAAACUGGAAUUAAUACCGUAUGUGCCCUUAGGGGGAAAGAGUUAUCGGCACGAGAUGAGCCCGCGUUGGAUUAGCUAGUUGGUGGGGUAAAGGCAUACCAAGGCGACGAUCCAUGGCUGGUCGGGGAGGAUGGUCAGCCACAUUGGGACUGAGACCCGGCCCAAACUCCUACGGGAGGCAGCAGUGGGGAAUAUUGGACAAUGGGCGCAAGCCUGAUCCAGCCAUGCCGGGUGAGUGAUGAAGGGCUUAGGGUUGUAAAGCUCUUUCACCGGAGAAGAUAAUGACGGUAUCCGGAGAAGAAGCCCCGGCUAACUUCGUG
rnacentral:rRNA from 1 species